rnacentral:rRNA from 1 species
GACGAACGCUGGCGGCAUGCCUAACACAUGCAAGUCGAACGAGAAGUCCCGGUCUUGCGGGGCAACUCGGCGUAACAACGGGGAACCUACCCGUAGGUUAGGUGUACCUCACCGAGGGGGAUGCUAAUGCAGCAGGAUCUCAUCGCACCAAAGACUUAUCGCCGUUGGAUGGGCCGGCGAGGGAUUAGCUAGGUGGUAGGGUAAAAGCCUACCAAGGCGACGAUCCAUAGCUGGCCUGCGAGGAUGAUCAGCCACACUGGGACUGAGACACGGUCCAGACUCCUACGGGAGGCAGCAGUGGGGAAUAUUGGACAAUGGGCGAAAGCCUGAUCCAGCAAUGCCGCGUGAGUGAUGAAGGCCUUAGGGUUGUAAAGCUCUUUUACCCGGGAUGAUAAUGACAGUACCGGGAGAAUAAGCUCCGGCUAACUACGUG